rnacentral:rRNA from 1 species
ACAUUUAAAGUGUGGCUGCAAAUCUGGGAUGCAGGAGGUGAAAAUUCAUUGUCUAAUCUGUUUCUCAGUUUCCUCUUUCAGAAACGAGAGAUUUUUCAAGACCUUGCUCCACUGCUGUGGCACUCCUUUGGCACUGUUGCUGCACUGCUCCAGGAGAUUAUGUCAAUUUACCCUUCACUUUCACCUCCUACUUUGUCGCCAGUUGCAUCAAACCGUGUCUGCAAUGCACUUGCACUUCUUCAGUGUGUUGCUUCACACCCUGAGACCAGGAUCCCGUUCUUGAAUGCUCACAUCCCACUGUACCUGUACCCGUUCCUGAAUACUACCAGCAAGACAAGACCUUUUGAGUACUUGAGGCUUACCAGCUUGGGUGUUAUUGGUGCUCUUGUGAAGGGCGAUUCUAUGACUUGCUUGUGGUGUUUGGUA